rnacentral:rRNA from 1 species
ACACUCCUACGGGAGGCAGCAGUGGGGAAUUUUGGACAAUGGGCGAAAGCCUGAUCCAGCAAUGCCGCGUGAGUGAAGAAGGCCUUCGGGUUGUAAAGCUCUUUUGUCAGGGAAGAAACGGUGAGAGCUAAUAUCUCUUGCUAAUGACGGUACCUGAAGAAUAAGCACCGGCUAACUACGUGCCAGCAGCCGCGGUAAUACGUAGGGUGCAAGCGUUAAUCGGAAUUACUGGGCGUAAAGCGUGCGCAGGCGGUUUUGUAAGUCUGAUGUGAAAUCCCCGGGCUCAACCUGGGAAGUGCAUUGGAGACUGCAAGGCUAGAAUCUGGCAGAGGGGGGUAGAAUUCCACGUGUAGCAGUGAAAUGCGUAGAUAUGUGGAGGAACACCGAUGGCGAAGGCAGCCCCCUGGGUCAAGAUUGACGCUCAUGCACGAAAGCGUGGGGAGCAAACAGGAUUAGAAACCCUGGUAGUCCCAUGA